rnacentral:lncRNA from 1 species
UCUCUCCCUCUCUGUUAGGCUGAGGGCGGCGCCGCCUCCGGCGCGCCGCUUCGCCGUCGCCUCCUCCCCUCCCUUCUCACUCCCUCGGUCUCACUCUCUAUCUCUGAUCUCUCUCGCCGGAACUGCUGUACGCCUCCGCCUCCGCCAUGGCAGAACACGGCUCUCGCCGGUUGCCAUCGUUUCUUGGCCGUUCUCGGCC